UACGAAGGUGGCAAGCGUUACUCGGAAUUACUAGGCGUAAAGCGCAGGUAGGCGGUUCGAUAAGUCUUUUGUGAAGCUCCCGGCUUAACUGGGAGAGGUCAAAGGAAACUGUCGGGCUAGAGUGUGGUAGAGGAUACUGGAAUUCCCGGUGUAGCGGUGAAAUGCGUAGAUAUCGGGAGGAAUACCUAUGGCGAAAGCAGGUAUCUGGGCCAUCACUGACGCUGAGCUGCGAAAGCUAGGGGAGCAAACAGG
rnacentral:rRNA from 1 species